rnacentral:rRNA from 1 species
UGCGGAUCCGCCGGCCGCUGCAGAGUUUGAUCCUGGCUCAGAUUGAACGCUGGCGGCAGGCUUAACACAUGCAAGUCGAGCGGGGGAAGGUAGCUUGCUACCGGACCUAGCGGCGGACGGGUGAGUAAUGCUUAGGAAUCUGCCUAUUAGUGGGGGACAACAUCUCGAAAGGGAUGCUAAUACCGCAUACGUCCUACGGGAGAAAGCAGGGGAUCUUCGGACCUUGCGCUAAUAGAUGAGCCUAAGUCGGAUUAGCUAGUUGGUGGGGUAAAGGCCUACCAAGGCGACGAUCUGUAGCGGGUCUGAGAGGAUGAUCCGCCACACUGGGACUGAGACACGGCCCAGACUCCUACGGGAGGCAGCAGUGGGGAAUAUUGGACAAUGGGGGGAACCCUGAUCCAGCCAUGCCGCGUGUGUGAAGAAGGCCUUAUGGUUGUAAAGCACUUUAAGCGAGGAGGAGGCUACUUUAGUUAAUACCUAGAGAUAGUGGACGUUACUCGCAGAAUAAGCACCGGC